AACGAACGCUGGCGGCAUGCCUAACACAUGCAAGUCGAACGAGACCUUCGGGUCUAGUGGCGCACGGGUGCGUAACGCGUGGGAACCUGCCCUUAGGUUCGGAAUAACUCCCCGAAAGGGGUGCUAAUACCGGAUAAUGUCUUCGGACCAAAGAUUUAUCGCCUUUGGAUGGGCCCGCGUUGGAUUAGCUAGUGGUAGGGUAAAAGCCUACCAAGGCGACGAUCCAUAGCUGGUCUGAGAGGAUGAUCAGCCACACUGGGACUGAGACACGGCCCAGACUCCUACGGGAGGCAGCAGUGGGGAAUAUUGGACAAUGGGCGAAAGCCUGAUCCAGCAAUGCCGCGUGAGUGAUGAAGGCCUUAGGGUUGUAAAGCUCUUUUACCCGGGAUGAUAAUGACAGUAUCGGGAGAAUAAGCUCCGGCUAACUCCGU
rnacentral:rRNA from 1 species